rnacentral:rRNA from 1 species
ACAAGCGGCGGAGUAUGUUGUUUAAUUCGAAGAUACACGAAGAACCUUACCAGGUCUUGACAUACCAUUGACGGGCGCAGAGAUGUGCUCUCCUUCGGGCAAUGGAUACAGGUGGUGCAUGGUUGUCGUCAGCUCGUGCCGUGAGGUGUUGGGUUAAGUCCCGCAACGAGCGCAACCCCUAUUGUUAGUUGCCAUCAUUCAGUUGGGCACUCUAGCGAGACUGCCGGUAAUAAACCGGAGGAAGGUGGGGAUGACGUCAAAUCAUCAUGCCCCUUAUGACCUGGGCUACACACGUGCUACAAUGGUUGGUACAACGAGUUGCGAGUCGGUGACGGCGAGCUAAUCUCUUAAAGCCAAUCUCAGUUCGGAUUGUAGGCUGCAACUCGCCUACAUGAAGUCGGAAUCGCUAGUAAUCGCGGAUCAGCACGCCGCGGUGAAUACGUUCCCGGGCCUU